GUUGUGAUUUACUUUCAUUUUAGUAUAUUUGAACCAUUAAACAAC
rnacentral:other from 1 species